UACGUAGGGUGCGAGCGUUAUCCGGAAUUACUGGGUUUAAAGGGUGCGUAGGCGGCCAGGUAAGUCAGGAGUGAAAGUUUGCGGCUCAACCGUAAAAUUGCUUUUGAUACUGCCAGGCUAGAAUUAGGAUGAGGUCAGCGGAAUGUGGCAUGUAGCGGUGAAAUGCAUAGAUAUGCCAUAGAACACCAAUUGCGAAGGCAGCUGGCUAGACCUGGAUUGACGCUGAGGCACGAAAGCGUGGGGAGCGAACAGG
rnacentral:rRNA from 1 species